GACGAACGCUGGCGGCGUGCUUAACACAUGCAAGUCGAACGGAAAGGCCCUGCUUUUGUGGGUUGCUCGAGUGGCGAACGGGUGAGUAACACGUGAGUAACCUGCCCUUGUCUUUGGGAUAACUUCAGGAAACUGCGGCUAAUAUCGGAUAGGAUCUCCUGCUGCAUGGUGGGGGUUGGAAAGUUUCGGCGGUUGGGUAUGGACUAGCGGGUUAUCAGCUUGUUGGGGGGGUAGGGGCUUACCAAGGUUUUGACGGGUAGCCGGCCUGAGAGCUUGACCAGCCACAAUGGGACUGAGAGACGGACCAGACUCGUACGGGACGCAGUAGUGGGGAAUAUUGCACAACGGGCGGAAGCCUGAUGCAGCAAUGCCGCGUUCGGGAUGACCUCCUUCGGGUUGUAAACCGCUUUCGCCUGUGACGAAGCGUGAGUGACGGUAAUGGGUAAAGAAGCACCGGCUAACUACGUG
rnacentral:rRNA from 1 species